rnacentral:lncRNA from 1 species
UUCCAUCUUGAUGCACCAGUCUGUAAAUAGUGUUGUCCUGUUUGCUGGUUACAGCUUUUAAAUCAGUGAGCUGGAGGAAACGGUCAUGGAAAUAGUGAAGGUGCAAGAUACACGCCAGUAGGAAGGAGGUGGGUAUAAAGAUGCGAGUGAAUAGCUCAGCCACAGAAAAUCUUUUUAAACCAAGGUCUGCUAGUUUGUUUUCAUCCAGGCCUGUCAUAUUUUUCCACAACCCAGGGAAUGACUCAAACUGGUAUGUGUAGAUGAAGAUAAGUACCAACAUCGUGUAAACAACAACUGACAUCCAAAAGUAUUUCAGAAUCUUUCUCCACCAUUCAUAGUGUACCUGAUAGAGGGCCACACAGAACAGGAAUAGUACCAUGUAGAUGAUUUUGUACAUGACAAUUCUACCCUCAAAGCUGACGAAGAAGAACAUGCCUCCACAGACAUAAAUCCAGUACUUGAUGAACAUAGCCAUCACCAGCUUCCCCAGAACUUUCAUAAUAUCCUGCUCAUCCUCAUCAUCAUCUUCCUGUUCCUCCUCCUCCUCCUCCUCUUCUUCUGCCACUUCUCCCUCUUGCAACUCUCCCUCUUCUUUUUCUUCAUCUUCUUCACUUCCAACUUUGACCUCAGAUAAAGUAGCUUCUUUUAACUGAAGUGCUUUCUGUUCAGUGAGGUGUUGCCUAAGCAGUAGCCAGAAAGUAAUCGUGAAAAGAAUCUUUGAUGCCAACUCUCCAGGUUCCUUUCUUUCUAAAAAACCUGAUACUUGAGGAAGCUCAUCAUUCUUGAGCUCAAUACUCCAUAUAUAUUGUAAUAUUAGCAGUAAAUUUCCAUAGAAAACCAUGAACGGUGAACUGAUCAUAGCAUAUUUCCUUCGGUCUCGAAUCAUCCACAGCGUGCAAGACCAGAUCAAGAGCACAAAAGUCAACCAGCUGUGAUACGUGAUACUCCAUGCCAUCAUAGCUAUCAAAGCACAAAUGUAACUUUGCUUCAUGAUAAAUUGGAACACAGAGACCAGGGCAUGCAAUUUAACAUUUUCUUUUUCCUCCUGAGGAACUUCUUCUUCCUCCUCUACUUCCUCCUCUUCCUUUUCUAAGUAGAAAAAUAAAGUCUUAUUUGCAAUUCAUGCUGGUAUAAAAGUAGUAUGAGUACUGUCUUCAGGUAAGCAAAC